rnacentral:lncRNA from 1 species
GGAGAAAAUCACAUCUUUCUGGACCCCAUGUUGUCACCUCCCCAUCUUUAAGGAAUAAAAACCUCUAAAGGACAAUAGAAAAAGGGGGUUCUUCUCCCCCCGCCCCCAGCUGUCCUGGAAGCUAUUUGCUUUUCUUUAAUAAAGACUUUGCUUGCUUGCUGCCUGUGUGUUCGCGGAGUUCAUUCUUCCACUGCCGUGAACAAGAACCCAGAUUCCAGUGUCAUCUUUCCAGUAUCAGUACCUUAGGGGACCUAGAUAACUUUGCCGUUGCAACGGAAAGUGGUGAGAAAUUCCCUAUGUUCAGGCUUUCUUCCCUCUUCGCUCUAGCCCCUCUCUCUAUAAAUCUUGUUUUACUUCUUAAAUACUCUUAGCCCACUCUGGACCACCCCCUCCUAAUACAACAUCUCCUGACCACUGUUCAGGUUUUCCUUCCUCUUCUCCUUUGACACUUCUGACCACAGCCCACCCCCACCACUCCUAAUCCCAUUGCAGCUGCUCCAGAUCCAAUUCCAGUUCCACAACCUCCAACUUAUGAUCUCUUUCAACCUGACCCCCCUCCUAUACCUGUUCCAGGAACUCGCUCAAAGCCUCGGCUCCACCCUCUACCCUGAGGAUCUCAGGACCUACCCCAACUUCCCUAAAUUCCCUCCCCAUACCCAGUCCCAAACGACCUUAAAGCAGGAAGCUUCACAACAGGACCCUGCUCCUUUCUCUUGCUCCCCUCCUCCCUUUAAGGGAAGUAGCUGGAACAGAAGGCAUUGCCCGGGUUCAUGUCCCAUUCUCCCUUUCCAAUCUAUCUCAAAUCAAAAAGUGUCUUGGCUCCUUCUCCUCAAACCCCUCAAUGAGACCUUUUUAAUUUGGCCUUUAAGAUUUUCAAUAACUGGGAAGAACAGGCAAAGUUAGAGAGGGCCCAAUAAGAUCAGGCCAAAUACCACCUUUUAGCCACUGCCCAAUAUGGCUCCAAACUUUCAUCAGUCAACAAAGACAAGAAGCCACCUGGGCCCUGCUUCAAAUGUGGCAAAGAAGGCCACUGGGCUCACUCAUACCCAAAGCUGAAGCCCCCUCCAGGUCCAUGUCCCAGCUGUGGCAUAAAGGGACAUUGAAAUGUCGAUUGCCCAAAUCCCCCUCUAGGGAUCCGGACGUCUCCUCCUGGUCCCGAGCAGGAGUCCUCCAACCCAGCUCUGCCCAGCCUCCUCGGACUCACUGCUAAAGACUGAAGAUGCCCAGGGCCCCAGGCCCCAACUCUCAUCACCUCUAUGGAGCCCAGGGUAACUCUCACAGUGGGAGAUUAUGCAACUGAAAAUAAAUCACAACCCAUUUGCAAAAGGUGAUUAUGACACGCUUACUACUAUGAAUGAUGCUAAGAUGAAUAUUCUUGUAUAUGUACAUGGGAUUCUACUGAAUACAAAUCUAUGAGAAGAUUCUCCAGAUGAAGGUGCACCAGAACUCCCAACGGGACUUGGAGGUGGCCAUCAACAGCCAGACCAAUCUCGAGCUCUAUGCUUCCUACCUCUGCCUGUCCAUAUCAUACUAAUUUGACUGCAAUGAUGUAGCUUUGAAGAACUUUGCCAAAUACUUUUUCACCAAUCUCCUGAGGAAAGGGAACAUGCUCAGGAAUUGAUGAAGCUGCAGAACCAAGGAGGUGGUGAAAUCUUCUUUCAGGAUAUUGAGAAACCAGACCAUGAUGACUGGGAAAAUGGGUUGAAUGCAAUGGAAUGUGUGCUACACUUAGAAAAAAGCAUGAAUCAGUCACUACUAGAACUGCACAAACUAGCCACUGACAAAAAUGAGCUCCCAUGUAGCCCCUAACAUUUAGAACUGAAUUGAGUGGCCAUUCCAUUUAGUUCCUUCUUGAUCAAUAUAACAAAAAAACAAACAAAGAAACAAAAUCUAAGUCUGAUGAACAAAGUCCUGACCCACCACAACUUUUAUGACUGCUGUGUUAGGUCAAGUUCUUUGGAAGCACACCUUGAAAUGAGGAUUUCUAUGCAACCUACUUGUGAAGGAAGUACUCCCCAAAGAAACUGGUAAGGACAGAGGAAGCAUGAUAGGAAAGGGAAAGAAACCAGCCAAGGUGCAAUCUCAGGCAAUGUCUCAGCCAGCAUCUGCCUGAUCCCAGCCUCAAGUGGACAAUUUCAGCCAUAGUUCUGAAGGGUUUUGAAGUUAAACCACCCCCUCUUUAAAGAGGAAAUUCUUCUUUUGAGAAACAUGAGAAACAGUUCCUGGAUGGCUGCUAGACACUGGUAGUGACUGACUACUUAGUCACCAUGUGACAUAGAAUGUGAGUUUCUCAGAGUUCCCAAACCUGUCAUGGCUCAGCAGAAAUAAGCCUGACUAGUAGCUGUGGCCUAGGCUGGCAACUGUAGCUCUGACUUGAUCCCUAGCCUGGGAAUUUCCAGAUGCCACAAGUGUGGCCCUAAAAAGCAAAAAACAAACAAAAAAAACAAAAACAGAGAGUGUGAGUUUCUCCUCCUAAUGGAGGAUUUCUGAAACACCAAGCAAUAAAUUCACAUGUGCCCUGGUAGCAGUCCAUCUACAAGAAGUAGUAUUAUGUAGUACUUAGUCUCCCCCCAAGUGUUCCACCUCUGGUCUGAUCCCAAUGAGUCCACCUCUGGCAUGCAUGUCUUGUGUAAUCCUCUCCCACAUGGUGUCAAGGUUGGUCAGUAUAGCCGCCAGAAUACAGCAGAAGUGAUAGAAUGUAACUUCUGAAGCCAGCUUAUAGAGACAUAAUGUUGAUGCCUUGUUUCCUCUCUUGGAUCACUAGUUCUGGGACAACUUAGCUGCCAUAUCAUGAAGACAUUCAAGCAGCCUAUGAAGAAGUCCAUAUGGCAUGCAAAUGAAGCCUCCUGCCAGCAGCUGGGGAGGAACUGAGACCCCGACCUCUGCUGUGUGAGGCAGCCACCAUGGGAGUGUGUUCUCCAGCCCCAGUCAAGCCUUCAGAUGACUGCAACCCCAAAUGACACCUUGAUUACAGCUUUAUGAGAAACUCUGAGCCAGAACCACCCAGCUAAGAUGAUCCCAGAUUCCUGAUCCUCAAAAACUAUGUAUGAUGAUACAUGUUUGUUGUUUUAAACUGCCAUGUUUUAGUGUAGUUUGCUAUGCAACUGAUAACUGAUAUACAGCAUAGUAUAUUUGAACAGGUCUUAAAUUCACACAUAAGUGUCAUGAGGAAGUUCACACUCCAAGGGGCUAUAUCCAUCACUGUGACACCCCUCCCUCAACUAAUGGGGAUUGUUCUAGAGAGUUUGAGUUUUCAGAACACUCUGUAGGUUAUGUAGGCACCAGUGGAAAUGAUAUAAUGGGCUUUAAAGUCAAUGUAGAAGGAAAUUCCUCCUAACAGGGAGAACUUGAAGCUGUGUAUCUCAUUGUCUACUUUGCUUUCAAGCCUGCUUUGUGGCUGGGGUAUGAAAACUAGGCUGGGCCAAUUAGACACACUAGAUGGGAUAUUACUCAACAACUUAUGCCAAAAAAGCAGGAAUUUAUUCUUGUGAAGGUGGUGUCAAUAGAAAUAGCUAUGAACCAUUUCCAGUGAUUGCAACAAAGUCCAGGUCUCAGAGGUUUUUUGUUUUUUUUGUGUGUUUUUUUUUUUUUUGGUCUUUUUAGGGCUGCACACAUGGCAUAUGGAAUUUCCCAGGCUAGGUGCUGAAUCGGAGCUGUAGCUGCCGGCCUGCACCACAGCCACAGCAACGCCAGAUCUGAGCCACAUCUGCAAACUACACCAAACUCGUGCAACACUGGAUUCUUAACCCACUGAGUGAGUGAGGCCAGGGGUCGAACCUGAGUCCUCAUCAAUAAUAGUCAGAUUCAUUUCUGCUGAGCCAUGAUGGGAACUCCCAGGGUCCAGUAUUGAUGGUAUCAGUGAUAACCAGUAUAAGUGGUAUCUUCAUGGCACAAGUGCCACAGAAUCAUUUUGGACAUUUUUACUAGCCUUAUUUUUAUAGCACUCUAGGAUAUUCUGUAAGCUAUCCAAUCAUUUAAUAAAUUCCUUCUAUCAAAAACUGGCCAGAAUUGAUCUCUAUUAUUUUCAAUUGAGAACUCUGAGUAUGGGACCCAAUUAAGUUUAAAAGCUUUUGUACAGCAGAGGAAACUGUCAACAAAGUGAAAAGGUAACUUACAGAACUGGAGAAAAUAUUUGCAAAUGAUAUGACCAAUAAGGGGUUAAUAUCCAAAAUAUAUACACAGCUCAUAGAAAUCAAUAUCAAAAACAACAACAACAGAUCAGAAAAAUAGGCGGAAGACCUGGAUAGACAUUUUUCCAAAGAAGACAUACAGAGAGACAAUAGGCACAUGAAAAGAUGUUCAACAUGGCUAAUCAAAGAAAUGCAAAUCAAAAUCAUAAUAUCUCACACCUAUCAGAAUAGCUAUUAUCAAAAAGAUGACAAAUAACAAAUAUCGGUAAGGAUGUAGAGAAAAGGGAUCACUUGUACACUAUUGGUGGGAAUGUAAAUUGGUGCAGCCACUGUGGAAAACAGUAUGGAGGUUUCUCAAAAAACUAAAAAUAGAACUACUAUAAGUCCACUCCCAGGUGUAUAUCAGAAGAAAACAAAGACACUGAUUUGAAAAGAUAUGUACAUUCCAACGUUCAUAGCAGCUUUUAUUUACAAUAGCCAAGAUACGGCCACAAUCUAAAUGUCCAUACAACAGAUGAAUGGAUAAAGAUGUGGUACAUGCAAUGAAAUACUAUGUAGCCAUAAAGAGAAUGAAAUUUUGCCUUUCGCAAUAAGGAUGGACUUGGAGGGUAUUAUACUUAGUGAAAUAAGCCAUACAGAGAAAGAUAAAAAGUGUAUGAUAUCAGUUAUAUGUGGAACCUAAAAAACACAAUAAACUUGUGAAUAUAACAAAAAAGAAACAGACUCACAGUUAUAAAGAACAAACUAGGAGUUCCCGUCAUUGCACAGUGGAAAGAAAUCUGACUAGGAACCAUGAGGUUGUGGAUUCGAUCCCUGGCCUCACUCAGUGGGUUAAGGAUCUAGCAUUGCCGUGAGCUGUGGUGUAGGUUGCAGACGUGGCUUGGAUCCUGCGUUGCUGUGGCUCUGGCAUAGGCCAGCAGCUAUAGCUCCAAUUCAACCCCUAGCCUAGGAACCUCCAUAUGCCGAAAGCACAGUCAAAAAAAAAAAAAAAAAA